rnacentral:rRNA from 1 species
CAGCCGCCGCGGGAAUACGUAGGUGGCAAGCGUUGUCCGGAAUUAUUGGGCGUAAAGCGCGCGCAGGUGGUUUAAUAAGUCUGAUGUGAAAGCCCACGGCUCAACCGUGGAGGGUCAUUGGAAACUGUUAAACUUGAGUGCAGGAGAGAAAAGUGGAAUUCCUAGUGUAGCGGUGAAAUGCGUAGAGAUUAGGAGGAACACCAGUGGCGAAGGCGGCUUUUUGGCCUGUAACUGACACUGAGGCGCGAAAGCGUGGGGAGCAAACAGGAUUAGAUACCCCAGUAGUCCCUGUCUCUUAUAC